AGAAGUACAUUUUAUUUUAAACAGGGGAGCUUUGCCACCUGUUAGACUAACAAACAGAGGUUUUAGUGGCUGAGCCGUUUAGAAAUAUCUUAUGGUUAGACUAGAAAACCAAAUAAACUAAGCUUUCUACAUGAGAAAGGUCAAAAAGCAGAGGCGCCACGCAGGUCCUGGCUGUGGAUUUUCACAGGGUGGUGAGCAGAUGGGAGCCUCCUGGUGAGAGCAGAAGGCACCUCUCCCUGGAGGCCGAGGCUCCUGAAGCCAGCUGCUGAGGGAGAUUAAGAGCCUCCCUACAUGGGACAGUUUCCAGCUCUCACACCCAGCUGGUGGGCUCCUCUUUGCACUGGCUGCCACCGCCAGCAGGUUCCUGUGCUGCCUCCCCAGGGAAUUCAACCAGAGAAGCAGGCUUGGGGCAGACAGUGGGCCCACACCCCCUGGAGCUCCAGCAACGCCCCGUUUCACUUGGCAGAGACCAUGCAUCCUGGGCUCUCCUCCUCCACUCCCUGCAGAUGCACUUUUUAUUUUUCUUAUCCUGGAGAAUACCUCUACAGUUCUUCAAGGCUCUGCUCAACUGCCAUCUCCACAGCAAGAUGUCAUCUACCUAGCUGCGGGACUGUCUUAGUCAACUUGGGCUGCCAUACCGAAGUCCCACAGACUGGGUGGCUUCAACAACAGACAUUGAUUUCCUCACAGUUCUGGAGGCUAGAAGGCCAAGAUCAAGGUAACCUCCCUAAGAAAAGGGGCCACCUGUGUGGAAUUGUCCCUGAAGCAGGCAGUGGUGGGGGUGUGAAUAAGCCAGUUGUUCUGGCAGUGGACUUGUGAAGCUUAAAAAUGAAGAAGUGAGAAGAACUGAAAAGCCUGCAAAUAUUUUAUAUUAUUUUGCCAUGAAGAAAGCUGCCUGAGACUAUGUCGACAGUUUCCUGUAAUGUAGAUGCCUUGUCAAUAAUGGCACUCUGGGGUUGCUGGGCAGAUGUUUUGAAACUCUGGCUUUAGAACGAAUUACUCAGGAAGCCUGAUAGAAGUGACAAUUCUCAGCCUACCCCUAGAAACUGUGAUUGAGUAGAUCCGUGGAGGGGCCUAUGGAUCUGCACUCCAACUACAGCCCAGAAGUUUUCCCUGAAAAAUUUUCCUCAAAGGCGGGGAGAAACUUGCAGUGAGGAUCACCACAGAAGAAGCUGGCUGUUUGUGAAUCUGCAGAUUCUCAACCCUCCCUGUCAGAAGUAGCAGGCACACAAAACAGGAAAGGCCUGGCAGUCUCUCCUUCAGUGGGCUUUCUUGGAUUGGCAAGUGUUUUCAAUGGAGGAGAAAUGUUAUCGUGGAAAACCCUGUGGAUCAUGGAUUGGAUAGUUGCCAUCUGCAAAGCUUGACGAUGGAGGCAUUUGUUUAUUGCAGAGAUCUUUGCUUUUCAGAACAGCUGUGUCUCUCGUGAAGCUGCCAUGGAGCUGGUGAGCUAGAGGGCUCAGAAGUAAGGGGGUGAUGUUGCUCCAGGGACCUGGCACGUUAAGAGUCAUGGAAAUGACUGUCUGGAGUAAUGUUACAAUCUGCAAAUGCUUUGUUUUAUAUAGAAGUAGUCACUGUGGCUUAACUAUUUCCUGAAGGGGAGAUGACAGUGGGGCCUAAAAUCUUAAAAUGGCUGGCUAAUUCUCUUGCCUGCCACAAUGGAAUGUCCUCACAAAUCAAAGCAAUCAUCUUUCCAGGGCUAAUGUGAAUCUUAUAGGCACCAAGGGAGAUCAUUCUCCUGGUUGGUUCCAGCUGGCAUAUUUAUCCAUAGUCAAGAACAGAGACUUCGCCAUUUCAGGCUUUAAUGCAAAUCAAAAAAGCAAACAUGGCUACUCACUCUUGCAACUCCCUCAUCAAUACUGGAAUGGUUGAUUUAAAUGUGUUUAUUUCUGAGGGCACCAGUAUAUUCUGUAGUCACAUAAAACCUGGACAUUGCUGUUCUGCAAAUGCAAAAACGUGUAGCUGCACGUGUGAAACAGAAAUGUGAAAUUUAUGCCAACUCUCCCUUUUUGUCUCAGUUGUCUUGAUUUACAGAGGUUCCCUGAAAAAGUCCUGAAUGCACAUUCUUUCUCUUGUUUUGCUGUUUGGGCUGUGGUCAGAGCAGGUCUACAGGCAUUUACAAGUUUUGAAUACAGAUGUUCUAAAUACUUCAUCAAUUGGUCCCUCAAUAAACU